UUUUAACAGCAGUUACCAGGUGUUCAGGACAAAGAAAGAAUAUAGACAGAAUGAGAAGGUGGCACAUUUGACACCAACCAGGUCCCAAGAGAAACUAAAUGCUUAUCAAACCUAAUGUGCACACAAAUCGCCUGGGAAACAGAUUGUGAUUCAAUAGGGCUGAGGGCCCAAGACUGCAUUUCCAGCCAGCUCCAAAGUAAUGCUGAUAACCACAGUGAGCACCAAAGCCAAAUGCCAAAAACCAAAAAGGAUGGCAAGAAUCAACCACAGGGGACAUCAGAGGACCACAGGUGGAGGAGAAGAGGCGAAAGUGGAAGCAACACAGCUGGAAAUGCUGGGACGUGCAGCAUUCUAUACUGCAAGUAGGCCCCAUGAAACAACCCUAAGGCAAGAAAGCAUCCACUAUGCUCAGAGAACAGCAAGGUGGCCCAGUUGGGUAGAGCAGAGUGACCUGUAGGAAGAAUAAUGGAUGUCAGGAGGAUUACUCUGGAUGCUAUGCUGAGAAGAAACUGAAGACAAUGGUGGAAGUGGGAAAGCUUAUGACUCAGAAUAACUAUUUCUAAUAACAAAUUUUAAGUUCUCUUCAUGAGCAGCUGACACAAAUCUUCAACUCAUUGAUGAUGGCAUCUGACUGUUCCAGGUAUUAAGAAGAGAGAAAGAAUCUGAGAAAUUAUGGCGUACUCAACUGUGGACAGCUGAAAGUCUGGCAUAGCGUGCCCUCAUCAUCACAAAUGGGCUCGCAUUACAAGCUACACUUAUUUGACAACUAUCAGCAUUUGUCAACCGGCACUCAGAUUUGAAGACUCAUUUCACAGCUGGAGCAAGAGAAGACAGGAAGGAAAAAUCAGAGUAAGGUUUCAAUGAGUUUCUGCAAAUUCUCAGAAGUUUUGCUGCCACUCAGUGUCACAAUAACAAAAAGAAAUAAAAAUAGCUGAUAUUUACUAAACAUC
rnacentral:lncRNA from 1 species